rnacentral:lncRNA from 1 species
GUGCCAUGUAAUUCCCUGUUUCCUAUCCAAUGUCUGUGAAUUUUGUUGAAGGAGAAAUUACAGGUAUUGAGCAUCAAGGUUAUCAUCACGGACUUCUAUCGCGUUACAAACGAGACGCCUCUGCCAGAGUCACGGAGAAGAAAGUGAAUUUAUUUACAAUAAGAUUCCCCCUCGCACACGCUCCUCCUCCUCCCCCGCUGGAGACCAAGUCUGCAAACCCCGGCUUGCCGCCACUGCACAAGAACAAGGGAGGCCAGCACGCCUCGGCGGCACAGUGCUGGCGCUCAGGCGGCGCCUCUGGAAACCCCGUCUUCCUCCGGUCUGGGGAAGGGCUAUCUGUACACGGCCUUUUCUCUCUUAACGGAUUUUAUGAAGGACUAAUAGUGUAAGUCAGAGCAGACACUGUUUGAAGAACAGUCUACAGAGCACGAAGGUGGAAAACACUUGGGAAAAGCACGUUGGGUUACACCAGGGACGGCCCCGCAGAGAUGGUGCCGCCUUGUCAUUUUGCAGCUGGAAGCAAAUGAUGAGAGACACGUCGUGUUUUCGAGAACACACAAAAAAAUAUACAUGGACAAUUCCAGUCGUGGGUACAUCAAUUACAGAAGGCUUGGAGAUACAAACAUAUAUAUAUACUUAUGGAAUAUCAUAGAAGUAUAAUUCACGAGUAGUGUCUAGCCUUACUUUUCAUAUCAUUUGUAUAUUUUGAUCGCUCCAGGAUGGAGCUUCUAAGAAAUGAUCGUGUGAGGACUUCCAUAGAGAACAAUUUUAGGGCUCAAAAUGGUUAAAAUAUGUUUCUGACCAAAGUAGUUUAUUCUGUUCUCUUUUGUUUACACAUCUACAACACAUAUAUCCAAAUUUGCUUGGGUAAAAGUGAAAUUUAAUAAAAGAUACACUUUUUCAGCAUAGUACAACAUCAUUAAAAUUGCACAGAGGGGAAAAUAAAACUCUAAGUGGUAUUUUGAAUCAUUACUGUCCAGCCAAACACAAAUAUCUGAAGACAGUGAAGAAGAGAGGGAAGGGGAAAGAGAGAAAGAGAGAAAGAGAGAAAGAGAGAAAGAGAGAAAGAGAGAAAGAGAGAAAGAGAGAAAGAGAGAAAGAGAGAAAGAGAGAAAGAGAGAAAGAGAGAAAGAGAGAAAGAGAGAAAGAGAGAAAGAGAGAAAGAGAGAAAGAGAGAAAGAGAGAAAGAGAGAAAGAGAGAAAGAGAGAAA